CCUACGGGUGGCAGCAGUGAGGAAUAUUGGUCAAUGGACGAGAGUCUGAACCAGCCAAGUAGCGUGAAGGAUGACUGCCCUAUGGGUUGUAAACUUCUUUUAUAUGGGAAUAAAACAGGGUAUGCAUACCCUUUUGUAUGUACCAUAUGAAUAAGGACCGGCUAACUCCGUGCCAGCCACCGCGGUAAUACGGAGGGUCCGAGCGUUAUCCGGAUUUAUUGGGUUUAAAGGGAGCGUAGGUGGAUUGUUAAGUCAGUUGUGAAAGUUUGCGGCUCAACCGUAAAAUUGCAGUUGAAACUGGCAGUCUGGAGUACAGUAGAGGUGGGCGGAAGUCGUGGUGUAGCGGUGAAAUGCUUAGAUAUCACGAAGAACUCCGAUUGCGAAGGCAGCUCACUGGACUGCAACUGACACUGAUGCUCGAAAGUGUGGGUAUCAAACAGGAUUAGAUACCCGAGUAGUC
rnacentral:rRNA from 1 species